UAGCAUAUCAAUAGCGGAGGAAAAGAAACCAACCGGGAUUACCCUAGUAACGGCGAGUGAAGCGGUAAGAGCUCAAAUUUGAAAGCUGGCUCCUUCGGGGUCCGCAUUGUAAUUUGCAGAGGAUGCUUCGGGAGCGGUCCCCAUCUAAGUGCCCUGGAACGGGCCGUCAUAGAGGGUGAGAAUCCCGUAUGGGAUGGGGUGUCCGCGCCCGUGUGAAGCUCCUUCGACGAGUCGAGUUGUUUGGGAAUGCAGCUCUAAUUGGGUGGUAAAUUUCAUCUAAAGCUAAAUAUUGGCCGGAGACCGAUAGCGCACAAGUAGAGUGAUCGAAAGAUGAAAAGCACUUUGAAAAGAGAGUUAAAAAGCACGUGAAAUUGUUGAAAGGGAAGCGCUUGCGAUCAGACUCGCUCGCGGGGUUCAGCCGGCCUUCGGGCCGGUGUACUUCCCCGCGGGCGGGCCAGCGUCGGUUUGGGCGGCCGGUCAAAGGCCCCUGGAAUGUAACGCCUCUCGGGGCGUCUUAUAGCCAGGGGUGCCAUGCGGCCUGCCCGGACCGAGGAACGCGCUUCGGCUCGGACGCUGGCAUAAUGGUCGUAAGCGACCCGUCUUGAAACACGGACCAAGGAGUCUAACAUCUACGCGAGUGUUCGGGUGUCAAACCCGUGCGCGCAGUGAAAGCGAACGGAGGUGGGAACCCCUCGGGGUGCACCAUCGACCGAUCCUGAUGUCUUCGGAUGGAUUUGAGUAAGAGCGUAGCUGUUGGGACCCGAAAGAUGGUGAACUAUGCCUGAAUAGGGCGAAGCCAGAGGAAACUCUGGUGGAGGCUCGCAGCGGUUCUGACGUGCAAAUCCAUCGUCAAAUUUGGGUAUAGGGGCGAAAGACUAAUCGAACCAUCUAGUAGCUGGUUCCUGCGAU
rnacentral:rRNA from 1 species